AGGAUGAACGCUGGCGGCGUACCUAACGCAUGCAAGUCGAACGGGGACUUUGUAGCAAUACGGAGUUCUAGUGGCAAACGGGUGAGUAACACGUGGGCAUCUACCUCGAAGUGGGGAAUAACGAGCCGAAAGGUUCGCUAAUACCGCAUGUGGUCGAGAGAUGAAAGGGUCCUUCUAACGAAGGAUUCGCUUUGAGCGGAGCCUGCGGUCGAUCAGGUAGUUGGUGAGGUAACGGCUCACCAAGCCGCUGACCGAUAGCUGAUCUGAGAGGAUGACCAGCCACACUGGCACUGAGAGACGGGCCAGACUCCUACGGGAGGCAGCAGCGAGGAAUAUUGCACAAUGGAGGAAACUCUGAUGCAGUAACGCCGCGGUGGGGAAGAAGACCGUUCGGUUGUAACCUCUUUUUAGUAUAGACGAGUGAGGACGUAUAUAUAGAAUCAGUCUCGGUCUAACUACGU
rnacentral:rRNA from 1 species